AGAGAAAAUGUGCAUAUUUUCUAAAGGUCUCUUGAUCAAAACCUCUGCCCCCAUCGUUGUGAACCUCACACAUAGCUCUAGCUUUUCUUUCUGAACUCAUUAGGAACUCGCCUUUCAUCUCAUAAUAAUCUUGUCCGUCUAUGACAAACAAAGUGUUUUUUGUUUUAAAUUCAUGAAUUCUUUUAGAUUACUGGGUAUGAAUCGAACUCUGAAUGUGCUACAGCCACGAAACCACUCUAUCGCGCGAGGGCUGCAGGAGCUUCUGAAGCGCGCAGAAAGUGGAGCACGGAGAACACAACGCACGCAUGCUCAUCUAUGAUGUUGCUCAGAUUAUUGCAAUCGAUUUUCAUUACUGAACUCGGAGACAAACACACUUCACAAGAUAUGCCUACUCUAUUUCUCCGGAGCUAAAAUCCUGUCAUGAGCAGUAGUUUACACAUUUUCGAAAUAGAGACGCAUAAAUAGGACACAACGUGAGGAAGACUAGGCAGCCAAACCAACCGUGAGUGAGACAACAUUUGGUCACAAUUUGAAAAUUCAAACAUUCGAACUCGAAAAGGGGGCAGGGUACGUUUUCUGAACCCGUCCAAAACGAUGGAGUUACAUAACUUCAGAAAACAACGCCAGUUUGUGGGCAAGGCAAGCCCACUAGAUGCUAAUCAACCAAGGGGCACACACACCCCUCUAUCGUCAACGCCCCCUCCACAAUCUCCCUCCCGGAUAGGUCCAGGCAGAGAUGGAAAAAACAACAACAAGGGCUUUAAAAACAUCCACAUUGUUCCGUCCAUCAGUAACAUCUGGUCAUCCAACCGGGGUACUGUGGCUACAUUCUCCUGUUUUCCGGCGCAUUUUUUAUUCUCCUCCAUCUCCGGGGAGGACAGAAAUCAAAGUUUAUAGUUCUUUCUUGCGUGAACCCAAAACGCGAACAUGCCCAGCAAGAGGAAGAAGAACAAGCGCCGCAUGAGAAGGGUGGCCAUACUCAUUCCUGAGGCCCCUGUGUCAGCUCUUGCUGAAUUUAAGGUCCAGGUCGAAAACUACGUAGUCAUUACCACAGAGAUCGCACAGACUCAUGACGAGCCGUGGCUCGAGGCUGAAGUGGAGGCUGAAAUAGUUGACGAGGUCCAAGCGAAAGUAGAGGCAGUAGUUGAGGAAGAACCAGAGCCCGAUCCCGUGGUCAAGGCCGAAGCUGCCCCAGUUGUAGAAGCUGAACUUGAAGAGUCGGGAAUCAAAGACGGAGACAAUCCUAUCGUCAAAGCUGAAGCCAUUCCUGAAGAUAUUGAUGCAGAAAAGCAUGAGACUGUUAUGACAGAGGCACCUGAAGAGGUUCCAGUGGAGACAGAAAUUAUCCCAGAAAAGCUGUGGAAGCCCGUGGAAGCACUGGUCAAAGAAGCCCCCGUAGCCGAGGUCGCUCCAGCAGAGCUCCUCGUGGAGCCCCCAGUAGACCCUGUCAUCAACAUAAUGGCUGACUUUGCCAUCACAGAAUCUGUUCCCGUUGUGGAGGCAGCCAUGGCUGAACAGGUGCCCGCAGUCCCAACGGAUUCACUUGACGCCCUAUCGGAGUUGCUGAACGACAUCACUCUAGUCACUGAGCCCGCCCCUGUCACAGCUGAUAAAGUCAUUGACGAGCCAGAGUGUGAGGAGAAAGAGGUGAGAGACGACGUACUUCCACCCGAUUACCGGCCCUGCUCGGAGGACCUGCUGGCUAAAGAGGAAAUUGAAGCCCAGAUGGAAAUCGAGGCUAAAAAGGAUGCCAUAGAUGAGAAGACAGUCCUUCACGUCAUCUCUGGAGAUUUAUCUGCCCCCGACCCUGUCAUCUCAGAACUGCAGUGUCACACGCAGCUCGCCGCCCCCAAGGAUAUCCCAGCAGAGGCAGUGCUAAAUGGACAGAUGGCAGCUGAGGUGGCCAUUGAGGGAUAGAUCUCUAUGGAUUUCCUUAGUCAGUAUGAAGGACUGAAGAGAGCCUGACGGUGAGCCGACCAGCGAACUUUACUUUUCAUUUUUUAGGGCUUAAAGGGACCGCUGGGAAAUUUGACAGACAUCCAACAAUCAGUGCCUUUCUUGCUUGGGUUCUUACAAAAAAAAUAUUAAACAAGUUUAAAAUGCGAUAUGAAGGUGGGGGAAUAAGACUCUUUUUUUAAAAACCAGAAUGUGAGAAUUUGGAAUAAACAAAUGAUGGCUUUCAUAGAUUUCUGUAUCCCAUUGCAUGUAUUGUAGAUUUGCAUCAAUUGUAAAUGGCAUGCAUUGUGUAUGAAUACUGUAGAAUUGAUGAAUGUGGCAAUGGCUUGUCUUCACAUUUGGACCAUGUUUGUAUGGAUGAGAGGGAUUAAUUCCUUGUACAUGUUUCCUGUUUUAACCUGGUUUGACUCCUUUUUGCGAAGGGACAGUAUCGCAGUUUGUACAGUACCAUAGCUACCCCCUCUUCUCCCUAUCACCAUUGUGGUACUUUUGUUUUUUCAGGGACUGUAUGAUGACAGCUCCACCCUCUUUAUUGUGUAGUGUCAGUGUGUCUACAGUCCCAAGUCUGUCCUGGGCAAUGUGAAAUGGUGUGUAGUUUUAGGUCCUCUGACCAGAUGCUCUUAACAUUUAAUUACCUACGCUGCCAACUGAAAACAGAGUACGGGGCCUGUAGAUCCUGUUUUUCUAAUUCUGUUUUGUAUAGACCAUAUGAUGUGGUACAACCGCUGUUUGUGUUCAGUUACGUGCUUUGGAAGAGACCAUGGAGUUGUCAUGUAAUUGAGGAGCUGGGUUGGAUUUCAUUCACCUUUUUGAAUAAAGAUGUUACUCACCAAGUCCUUGAUUCAGUUGUUGGCCUGUGUUCUACAUUCCUUAG
rnacentral:lncRNA from 1 species